rnacentral:rRNA from 1 species
UACGUAGGGUGCAAGCGUUUGUCCGGAAUUAUUGGGCGUAAAGAGCUCGUAGGCGGUCCGUCACGUCGGGCGUGAAAACCCAGGGCUCAACCCUGGGCCUGCGUUCGAUACGGGCGGACUAGAGUUCGGUAGGGGAGACUGGAAUUCCUGGUGUAGCGGUGAAAUGCGCAGAUAUCAGGAGGAACACCGGUGGCGAAGGCGGGUCUCUGGGCCGAUACUGACGCUGAGGAGCGAAAAGCGUGGGGAGCAAACAGG